UAAUAAGGCCCAAAUAAGACAGAUGUAUUAGAGUAGAGCGGAUCAUAGGUCCGACUUGGACAUGGAACAUGGCAAACGUUAAACAGAUCUUGCCCAUGGGCCAACUAACAAGGAAAAUACUUUAGAUUCGAGGCCCAUCCCAUGACCAGAUUUCAUCAGUUAUGGGCAGCUAAAAAAAGAUUUACAAACAAAAUUCAAGGAGAAGCAUCAAUUGUAAAAUUAUCAGGAAGUUGCAUGUUGGGAC
rnacentral:lncRNA from 1 species